AAAGAUUUAUCGAUAUUUUAUUUGACAUAAUAAUAACAGUAAAUAUACCUCAAAUUUCCCAAACUAAACAAUCCUGUAUAUUUUGUAAAAGAAUUAAUGAAUACUAAAUAGGGCAUAUAUAAACGAUACUAACCCAUUGAGUCACUCUCCCUUUCCGAGGAAAAUUGUCUGGCGUUAGACAGAGAAAAAUAAUGCAGUAAGCAGUAUUCAAGGCACAUUGCUAUACAGUUAAAGGUUAACACAAAGCAUGGGUGUGAUCGUGUCGAGGAAAAUCGUCUGGCAUUAGACAGAGUAAAAUAAUAAAGCAUCUUAGUCCAUAUGCAAACGCUCACAUUGCUAACCCCAGAGAUUUAUCGCAGUCAGUUGGUCCGAAGAAGGCUUUGAAAGACAUUUUACGACUGGCAAGUGUGUGCGUCAUAUAAUAAUUUAAUGAAUUUGUCACUAUAUUUACAUGUUACUAACUAAUUAAAGACAAAUAAAGACAGAUUAGACAAUUCAUGACAGGGGAAAGGAACGAGAAGACUCUCGUCCCAAUUAAUACCUAACCCCUAACCUCGAUUAAAUUUUGGUUCAAUUUGGAUGAGGUUGUCUUGCUUUGUCGAGCAGAAGAAAAUGAAUGCGUAAUUAGUAUGAUGUAGCAUAAUAUGCUGGCGUUCCGACUGCCCUCUGAUCUCAUAGCGGAGUGGAUAGACCCUGCCAAGAAUUCCAGCGAGCACAGCAAGCCGACGAACCGUAAGCGGUAUAAGCGGAUCCUUUAUUAUAGCAAGCAUAAUUCUUGUACGAAUGCUCAAGCACCCCAACAGGCAAACAGGACACUACUAAUACUAAUAAGGAAAAGCUUCCCACGUUGUUUUUCUGAGAUUUACCAGGUAGCUAGUUCAGAAACUAGCAGCAAAUAUGGGCAACCCACUCAGACACCCACAUCAAUUGGCACAUAUUUCAAAAAUGCCGACAGAAGACUCCCAGUGCAAGAUUGCACCAUUUAUGCAUGCAUGAUCGCCGGCAUCUCUUCCUUGCAAGUAUAUUAAUAGCGUGGCUAGGUAUUUCAAAGUGCCUUAUAUAACAAACAUACUAAAUACAUAAAAAAGGCUUGUAUGACGAUGCUGUUUUUAACAGCAACUAAGCAUUGAAAAGCUGCUGUACUAAAAUG